GGUAUUGAAAUAAGAUUUUAAAUGAGUGCUAAGAGAAUGAUUAAACAAUUAAAAACUUUCUUUAAUUAAAUAAUUAAAUUUAAUUUUUUUGGUGCAAAAGCAAAAAUAAAAUUUAGGGACAAGAAGACCCUAUGAAUUUUUAUUAUUAAUAUUAUGUAAUUAAAUUAUUAAUAAUUUAAUUGGGGUGAUAAAAAAAGAAUAAGUAUCUUUUUAAUUAUAAAAUAAGUUCCGUUUUUUAGCGAUUAAAUGAAAAAAAUACUCUAGGGAUAACAGCGUUAUAAUUUUGGAUAGUUCAUAUAGAUAAAAUAGUUUGCGACCUCGAUGUUGGAUUAGGAUUCUUUUUUGGUGAAGAAGUUAAAAAAAGAAGUUUGUUCAACUUUUAAAUUCCUACUUGAUCUGAGUUCAGACC
rnacentral:rRNA from 1 species